UCGCAAAUUAGAUAACAUUGCGGGAUUAAAAUUGGAACAUUUAUAAAAAACAUAAAUUGAAUAAUAGUUCCAAGUGGUUUACAUUUGGAUAAAAAAAUAAGACCGUAGUCUUUAG
rnacentral:sRNA from 1 species